rnacentral:rRNA from 1 species
UACGAGAGGUCCAAACGUUAUUCGGAAUCACUGGGCUUACAGAGUUCGUAGGCGGUUCUACAAGUGGGGUGUGAAAGCCCUCGGCUCAACCGAGGAACUGCGCUCCAAACUGUAGAACUAGAGGGAGAUAGAGGUGAGCGGAACUGAUGGUGGAGCGGUGAAAUGCGUUGAUAUCAUCAGGAACACCGGAGGCGAAGGCGGCUCACUGGGUCUCUUCUGACGCUGAGGAACGAAAGCGUGGGGAGCGAACAGG